rnacentral:lncRNA from 1 species
UCACAUCCAAUCUUUAUUGUAUAUUGUUGGACAAGAAUAAACAAUCCCAUAUACAAAUGACUCCCAUAUAAAUGUUUUUUCAGAAUAUGAUUUUUACCAAAAGUAAUAGAAAAUCAUAAUAGAAAAAUUAUAUAAAAAAAAAUUCUUAUAUUGAUUGUUGAGCAUUGCUUCAAUACAGUAAAAAUAUCAGAAUAAAAACAUUGUAUUUUUA